AGUCGAAUGCCGAUUUAUCGGCAUGGCAGACGGCUGAGUAAUACAUGGGAAUCUACCUCAAACUCGAGAAUAGCCCAUCGAAAGGUGGUGUAAUACUCGAUAGUUCCGUUUACGGUAAAGCUCCGGCGGUUUGAGAUGAGCCCAUGUCCUAUCAGGUUGUUGGUGGGGUAAUUGCCUACCAAGCCUAUGACGGGUAGCUGGUUUGAGAGGAUGAUCAGCCAGACUGGGACUGCGAUACGGCCCAGACUCCUACGGGAGGCAGCAACUAGGAAUCAUGCGCAAUGGACGAAAGUCUGACGCUGCGACGUCGCGUGAGGGAUGAAGGUCUUCGGAUCGUAAACCUCUUUUAUCUGGGAACAAGUUCUGAGUGUACCAGAUGAAUAAGUGCCUGCCAACCACGUGCCAGAAGCAUCGGUAAUGCGUGGGGCACGAGCGUUAUCCGGAUUUACUGGGCGUAAAGAGAUGCGUAGGCGCCUUUUUAAGUCACUUGUAAAAUCUCCCCGCUCAACGGGGAAACUGCAAGUGAUACUGAAUUGGUUGAGUCAAGUAGAGGAGAGGGGAAUUCCUGGUGGAGCGGUUAAAUGCGUUGACAUCAGGAGGAAUACCAAGUGCGAAGGCACCUCUCUGGACUUGUACUGACGCUAAGGCUCGAAAGUGUGGGGAGCAAAACGGAUUAGAUACCCGUGUAGUCCACACUGUAAACGAUCCCUGCUAG
rnacentral:rRNA from 1 species